rfam:Noviherbaspirillum sp. Root189 contig_20, whole genome shotgun sequence.
CCGAGUGUACGACCACUCGUUGCCUACUCGGGCAUGCGUGACUGGUAACGGUCAGGUGUGAAGCCCCGACGACAAUGUACCCCCGCCCCGGCGGCACAUACCUUACGCAAGUAAGGUUGUGGACACUGUUAGCAGCAAGACGGUGAAGGGG